rnacentral:rRNA from 1 species
GGCUGCAACCCGCCUGUAUGAAGUUGGAAUCGCUAGUAAUCGCGGAUCAGCAUGCCGCGGUGAAUACGUUCCCGGGCCUUGUACACACCGCCCGUCACACCAUGAGAGUCGGGAACACCCGAAGUCCGUAGUCUAACUUUCACGAGAGGACGCGGCCGAAGGUGGGUUCGAUAAUUGGGGUGAAGUCGUAACAAGGUAAC